rnacentral:rRNA from 1 species
UACGUAGGGCGCGAGCGUUGUCCGGAAUUAUUGGGCGUAAAGAGCUCGUAGGCGGUCUGUCGCGUCGGCUGUGAAAACCUGGGGCUUAACUCCGGGCCUGCAGCCGAUACGGGCAGACUAGAGUUCGGCAGGGGAGACUGGAAUUCCUGGUGUAGCGGUGAAAUGCGCAGAUAUCAGGAGGAACACCGGUGGCGAAGGCGGGUCUCUGGGCCGAUACUGACGCUGAGGAGCGAAAGCGUGGGGAGCAAACGGG